ACUAAAAUGACAAAGGUUAGGAGAAUUUACGUAACAGGUUAGGUGAAUUGGGUUAAGAAUAUUACCUUUGUUUCUGUCUAAAGUAACUAGACCAUUUGUAGAUAUCAUACGUCUUGGAGAUGCUCAGAAAUACGUCAAGUAUAUUUCGUAUGGCUCUGAGGCCAGGCUGAAACACACGGCAUUCCAAAGGGACAAAGGCAGGAAGAAAGGUCUUGUUUGCCUGCCUCACGUGAUAACUUACAGACCACAAUGCUUUGGCUGAGAAGACAUGGCACACUCCCAUUUUAUGUGUUGAUCUACCCCAUUAUCACAUGAUAAAGUUAUUCAAUCAAGGGGCAUCUGUGCAGAAGGGGUAUGCUUUGGACUCGGUGUGCUUCCUGUUGGAGAGGGAUAGUCAUAUUCAACAAACUGUGAUGCCAAGUUCUUAAACAGGACCUGAGCCCUAGGACCAUGCCCCAGGACUACCUGACAUGAUGACUCCUUGCUGUCCCCAGUCCACCUGGCCAUGCUGCUGCUCCAGUUUAAACUGUUCUGCCUUAUUAUUAUUCGACCAUGCUGGUCAUUUAUGAACAUUUGAACAUCUUGGCCAUGUUCUGUUAUAAUCUCCACCCGGCACAGCCAGAAGAGGACUGGCCACCCCACAUAGCCUGGUUCCUCUCUAGGUUUCUUCCUAGGUUUUGGCCUUUCUAGGGAGUUUUUCCUAGCCACCGUGCUUCUACACCUGCAUUGCUUGCUGUUUGGGGUUUUAGGCUGGGUUUCUGUACAGCACUUUGAGAUAUCAGCUGAUGUACGAAGGGCUAUAUAAAUACAUUUGAUUUGAGUCAGAAAUUGCAUUAGCGUUUCAUCUUUUUUCCCUAUCCUUGCCCCGUUAAUGAGAUAUUAUGCACAUGAUAGCGAAUGUCCUCGUCAUGUGAUUUAUCAUGGUAGCAGUCAGUAGCAAUCCAAAUGAUCAGGCCGAAAAUAUGCAAGGAAAAGUGAUCGGGUGAAAUUUUGAGGCGAGUGGAUAGAGAAAUACACUUUCUUUGUGUCCAUUCAGAGCAGCAGGAUCAACGUACAGGCCGCCAUUCAUUUUACAGACAGGCAAACUUGCCAUUUUAAUUAUUUAGACUACAUAAAACCUGGAACAUUACUGACUCAAAGACAUUACAGUAUGGUUUAGAAACUAUGUGACUGACUUACACAAGAAAGAUGCUGGCUGGCACCCAAUUGAAUACAUUUUUGGAUCACGGAUAUUUACAAAAAGUACUCGGAUUAUAAUCGUAUCCAGAAAAUUGCCCAUAUCCAUUAUGAUACUCAUUUUGUCUGACUACUCGGCACACUCUUAAUCCACACUGAGCUAAAGACUAGACCUGCUGCUUUCAAGGAGAGGGACACUAAUCAAGACUCUUAUAAGAAAUCCCGUUACGACCUCCAGCGAGCCAUCGAACAGGCAAAGCGUCAAUACAGGACUAUGAUCGAAUCCUACUACGCCGGCUCUGACACUCGCUGGAUGUGGCAGGGCUUGCAAACUAUGACAGAUUACAAAGGGAAACCCAGCCGCAAACUGCCCAGUGACGUGAGCCUACCAGAAAACUAAUUGCCUUCUAUGCUCGCUUCGCGUCAAGCAACACUGAUCCAUGCAUGAGAGCACCAGCCGUUCCGGAUGACCGUGUGACUGUGUGAACCCAUAGCGGCCGUCAAUGGCCUUUUAAAAAAUUACUAAAGUGGCCGAGAACGGCCUUGAUUAUCUACCAAUAAUAUCUGUGUCAAUAUUUUAAAAUGUACUUGCUAGCAACCUA